GCAGCCACAUCAUGUUGAAACAUUGGUUCCCAUACAAUCACAGAAGUUAAGCAAUGAACCUGGUUAGUACCUUGAUGGGUGACUGCUUGGGAAUACCAGGUGCUGUAAG